UGGGGAAUAUUGCACAAUGGGCGCAAGCCUGAUGCAGCCAUGCCGCGUGUGUGAAGAAGGCCUUCGGGUUGUAAAGCACUUUCAGCGAGGAGGAAGGUGGUGGACUUAAUACGUUCAUCAAUUGACGUUACUCGCAGAAGAAGCACCGGCUAACUCCGUGCCAGCAGCCGCAGUAAUACGGAGGGUGCAAGCGUUAAUCGGAAUUACUGGGCGUAAAAGCGCACGCAGGCGGUUUGUUAAGUCAGAUGUGAAAUCCCCGGGCUCAACCUGGGAACUGCAUUUGAAACUGGCAACCCCGCUAGAGUCUCGUAGAGGGGGGUAGAAUUCCAGGUGUAGCGGUGAAAUGCGUAGAGAUCUGGAGGAAUACCGGUGGCGAAGGCGGCCCCCUGGACGAAGACUGACGCUCAGGUGCGAAAGCGUGGGGAGCAAACAGGAUUAGAUACCCUGGUAGUCCACGCUGUAAAACGAUGUCGAUUUUGGAGGUUGUGCCCCUUGAGGCGUGGCUUCCGGAGCUAACGCGUUAAAUCGACCGCCUGGGGAGUACGGCCGCAAGGUUAAAACUUAAAGGAAUU
rnacentral:rRNA from 1 species